rnacentral:rRNA from 1 species
GAUGAACGCUGGCGGCGUGCCUAACACAUGCAAGUCGAGCGAACAGACGAGUAUCUUGCUCCUCUGAUGUUAGCGGCGGACGUGUGAGUUACAUGUGCAUCACUUACCUUUAAGACUGGGUUAACAUCGUGGGACUGGUGCCAAUAACGGAUCAUAUAUUCAACGGCAGGGUUCAAUAGUUUAAGAGGGUUUUGCUGUCCUUUCUAGAUGGAUCCGUGUUGGAUUGGUUAGUUGGUAAGGUAACGGCUUACCGAGGCGACGAUGCGUAGCCGACCUGAGAGGGUGAUGCGCCACACUGGAACUGAGACUCGGUCCAGACUCCUACGGGAGGCAGCAGUGGGGAAUGUUGGGAAAUGGGCGGAAGCCUGAAGAAGCAACGCAGCGUGGGUGAAGAAGGUCUUCGGGUCGUAAAACUCUGUUAUUGGGGAAGAACAAAUGUAGAAGUAGCUAUGCUUGUCUUGACGGUACCUAAAGAAAAAGCAACGGCUAACUACGUG